AACCACAGCCCUAAAAUCAUAUCAAAUUAACUAACUACUUUUUCAAUUUAAACCAUUUUAAUUAUCCUAGUAUAGGUGAUAGAAAAGAUAUAAUAGGAGCUAUAGUUUAUAGUACCGCAAGGGAAAAAUGAAAGAUAAAUUAUAGUAAUUAAAAGCAAAGAUUAACUCUUGUACCUUUUGCAUAAUGAUUUAGCCAGUCAACACGGACAAAAAGAAUUAUGCCCGACAUCCCGAAAUUAAGUGAGCUACUAUAAGACAGUUACUAAUGAACCAACUCAUCUAUGUAGCAAAAUAGUGAGAAGAUUUUAUAGUAGAAGUGAAAAACCUAUCGAACUUAAUGAUAGCUGGUUAUCCAAAAAAGAAUUUAAGUUCAACUUUAAGUCCUAUUACAAUGCCUAUUCAAAGCACACAAUAAGCUUAAAAGUUAGUCAAAGAAGGGACAACUUCUUUGACCAAGUAUACAAACUACAUUAGAGGGUAAUAAUUAAUAAUCCACAUCGUUGGCUUAAAAGCAGCCAUCAACUAAGAAAGCGUUAAAGCUCAAACUCACAUUCCAAUUUAAUACCAUAAAAAAACUAAAACCCCUAAAAUACUAUUGGAUGAUUCUAUGAUAUUAUAGAAUACAUAAUGCUAAAAUUAGUAAUAAGAACCCCUGUUCUCCUNGCACAAGCCUAAGUUAGAAUAACGGAUAUCCCAUUAAUAGUUAACAAAANCAUAACAACAUUCAUCAACCAGCCUCUUAUACAAAAUUUUGUUAAUCCAACACAGGUGUGCAUUAAAGGAAAGAUAUAAAAGAACAAAAGGAACUCGGCAAA
rnacentral:rRNA from 1 species